GGAUACACUUAGUGGCGGACGGGUGAGUAACGCGUGGGUACCUGCCUCACACUGGGGGAUAACAGUUAGAAAUAGCUGCUAAUACCGCAUAAGUCCGCAUGGAAAAAACUCCGGUGGUGUGAGAUGGACCCGCGUCUGAUUAGCCAGUUGGCGGGGUAACGGCCCACCAAAGCGACGAUCAGUAGCCGGCCUGAGAGGGUGAACGGCCACAUUGGGACUGAGACACGGCCCAAACUCCUACGGGAGGCAGCAGUGGGGAAUAUUGCACAAUGGGGGAAACCCUGAUGCAGCGACGCCGCGUGAGUGAAGAAGUAUUUCGGUAUGUAAAGCUCUAUCAGCAGGGAAGAAGUGACGGUACCUGAAUAAGAAGCCCCGGCUAACUACGUGCCAGCAGCCGCGGUAAUACGUAGGGGGCAAGCGUUAUCCGGAUUUACUGGGUGUAAAGGGAGCGUAGACGGCAAGGCAAGUCUGAAGUGAAAGCCCGGUGCUUAACGCCGGGACUGCUUUGGGAACUGUUUGGCUGGAGUGCCGGAGAGGUAAGCGGAAUUCCUAGUGUAGCGGUGAAAUGCGUAGAUAUUAGGAAGAACACCAGUGGCGAAGGCGGCUUACUGGACGGUAACUGACGUUGAGGCU
rnacentral:rRNA from 1 species